UGCGGGGUGGAGCAGUUUGGCAGCUCGUCGGGCUCAUAACCCGAAGGUCGCAGGUUCAAAUCCUGCCCCCGCUACCA
rnacentral:tRNA from 2 species